AGAUAGAUUUAGCUGGUGGUGCAGAGAUCUGUGAGCUUGCUUUUACAGGACUUUAAUGAUAUAUAAAAGCAGCAUGAAGGGCUCCUGACUGUGGAUUAAUUUGGAGAUGACUUUCUCUGUUGAAGAGUGGCAAGACUCUUGCAAGUUCUUAAAAAUGCACUUGUUUGGUAUGAGAAUGAAAAGCAGUGGCUGAAGAACCAGUCUUCAAUGGGCAAGGCUUCUCUGACACUGAGAUCUUCCCCGGCGGCUCUGAUCUGGGGGCUCCCUGUAGGUGCAAAGACCUGGUUCUUCAGACUCCAUCCAUGGAAGGAGGGAACACCAGUCGCAGGGAAGUGGGCUCUGCAUGGGGUUCCAGACACAGUAAAACAGGGCCUGGCACAGAUGCCUUGUUUGAGGUAUAGUGCGAACCCAUUAGCACUGAACUCAGGACCAGCAACGCUGUAACUCAGGCCUGAAGGAAGCAUUUCUAGCACAUGAAUUUCCUCCGUAAGGCACCUCACAGCCUCUUGUGCCUGGGAACUCUAGCCAGCACUGCAACACGAUGCCUGGGGCCAUUAUAAAUGUGAAAUUACCAAAGAAACCCCACAAAAAUGUGAAAAUCAUGGCACUAAAUAGACCACAAAAAGAAUGCUUAUUUGCAGUAUGAGAACUGGAACCAGAAGUGUCUGUUCUAACAUGUCAUCUGGGAUCCCUUGGAAUCUUCAUGUACAGAACCGGUUGCUGCCUCAUUGAGUUGGUGGGGACAGAAUAGCUCCUGGUUGGCAGCAUGGGUUGUGCAGAAGGACAGACCCUGCAGACAUCAAUAUCUGGCUUUGAGUGGCACAAAGAAAUAAAGGAAUGUGGAUUCAGACCUCACUGGGAUGCUUGGCAAUUCUAAUUCUACGCCAGACUGCAAAUGGACACAAAACUGUUGCGACUUUUGUUGAAGAGGAGAAGGAUGGAAGCUGGAUUCAGAAGCACACAGGUCUGGGGAUGCAGGCUUCGGCCACCCUGAUGCGAGGAAAGACUGCCAUCUCGUGGUCAGCUCGAUCCUGGCACCUUGGUGAGGGUCCAGGCUGCAGAAAACCGGGCUUGGGGAGGAAAUGGUGCUGCAAACUGGAUUUCUGCGGGACAAUGUGGAUGCCUUUAGAAAACACCCAGAAAAGAGCUGAGUGCCACCCAAGAUAGGCUUCAGUGAAUCCUCUGCAGGUGUGUUGUCAUCCCCUAAGCCAAACACACACUUCACACACACGCUGUAGGCUGCGUGAAAAUGAGGUAGAAAUGUGGGGAAAACAUAAUCCCGUGGAGAGAACAAACAGCUGAACAUGUAAAUGCCUCCGGCAUGCCUGGCAGAGAGAACACUCAGGCUGAGAAAAGGGGACAGUAACUUGUGCCAAAGAUAAGGGAGUAGCCUCUGGGGAAUCAAUCAGCAGGGCGUCUGGUCAACCCCUCAGACAAAGUCAGGUCUGAGCAGGCAAGAUCUAUGGAUCUGAUUUAUUAAUAUUUUCACAAUUAAAAAGAAUCUGAUUGUAAAACUGUUACAUGUGUUGUGAGAAAAAAAGAAAAAA
ensembl:lncRNA